rnacentral:rRNA from 1 species
GAUAAACGCUGGCGGUGUACAUAAGACAUGCAAGUCGAACGGGAGAAGACAGGAAGAUUUAUCUACUUGUUGGACACCGUGGCGGACGGGUGAGUAACACGUAAGCAACCUGCCUAUAAGAGGGGAAUAACAGUGAGAAAUUACUGAUAAUACCGCAUAAGCUGGAGGUAUCGCAUGAUACAUUCAGAAAAGAUUUAUCGCUUAUAGAUGGGCUUGCGUCUGAUUAGCUAGUUGGUGAGAUAACAGCUCACCAAGGCGACGAUCAGUAGCCGGAUUGAGAGGUUGAACGGCCACAUUGGGACUGAGACACGGCCCAGACUCCUACGGGAGGCAGCAGUCGGGAAUAUUGCACAAUGGAGGAAACUCUGAUGCAGUGACACCGCGUAUAGGAAGAAGGUCUUAGGAUUGUAAGCUAUUGUCGUGUGAGAAGAAAAUGACCAUCACAGGAGGAGCCC